rnacentral:rRNA from 1 species
GUACUCCCGGGGUAGGGGCGAAAUCCGAUAAUCCCGGGAGGACCACCAGUGGCGAAGGCGCUCGGCUGGAACGCGCCCGACGGUGAGGGGCGAAAGCUGGGGGAGCAAAGGGGAUUAGAUACCCCUGUAGUCCCAGCUGUAAACGAUGCGGGCUAGCUGUUGGGCGGGCUUAGAGCCCGCCCAGUGGCGGAGGGAAGCCGUUAAGCCCGCCGCCUGGGGAGUACGGCCGCAAGGCUGAAACUUAAAGGAAUUGGCGGGGGGGCACCACAAGGGGUGAAGCUUGCGGCUUAANUGGAGUCAACGCCGGAAACCUUACCCGGGGCGACAGCAGGAUGAUGGCCAGGCUAACGACCUUGCCGGACGAGCUGAGAGGAGGUGCAUGGCCGUCGUCAGCUCGUGCCGUGAGGUGUCCGGUUAAGUCCGGCAACGAGCGAGACCC